GCGGAAGUGCAGUAAGACGUAGUUGCCAGGACACGGGGGCCUGUGCACAAGUGCAUAGACGUCCAAGACCAACGCCGCCAUUUCAAACGAGGGCAGAAGUCCGGGACGCGAUCGUUUCUGCCCGGCAUUAGGCUCGGUACCCUAUUGUUCUUUGCCGCCCUCAGGACUGCUUCCUCAGGACACACGCAUCGCGUCUCCGCGUUGGUGGAGUGAGUCUGCCACCGCCCUCCGCAGUGCCCCGGUCCCCACGAGUAUGCUCCGUCCACGCGCGGCCCCUCCCCGCUGCCUGGGUCUUCGGGUCCCCGGCCGCGGCGGUCACUCCUCCGGUUACCUGCCGCCGGGAUUUCCCCGCCGUCCUGCCUUUGGUACCCCAGUUUCGCGUCCUGGGGUCGGGUUCGCGGCGGUAAGAGCCAGACCCACAUGCUGGAGCAGUGCUACCCAUCUGGAGGUGGGGGAAUUGGAGCGGGGCAGGGCUGGCAACUGGGUCCCCUCGGGGGCGUUCUUUAUCCUGGUGCUCGCGGCCCCGGCUCUUGGGCUGCUGUUUUGAAUUAGGCUGACUAAUACUUUUCAAAGAAUUAAAAAAAUAUAUCUUUAAUGUAUCUAUCUUAUUUUUAUGUGUUGCUGAGGAUCGAACCCAGAGUCUUGCACGUGCUAGACGAGCGAUCUACCGCUGAGCCAGAAUCCCAGCCCCUGAUUUCUGCUUUUGAGACCAAAGGCUGCAGUGAGGGAUGGGACUGUUCCCCUAUCCGGUUCCCACACAGGCCUCUAUCUCCCCAGCUAUUGCUUCUGCCAGCUGUUCCCAGAAGUUUCUCUGAAAAGCCUCUAUGCAAUAAGUGUUGGGUGGGGACGCAAAACACCUGGAGAGUUCCGAAAUGUCCCAAGGAGCGCGCGCUUUCUGCAAUGACAAAAUCAGAAUCUCAGAGUGAAGGCAUCAUCUGGACGCCAGGUGACCCUACAGCCUCGACUGAGAAUCACGGCCUCCCAGCCACACGAGUGGUGAGACCGUACUUGUCUCCUUGGUCCUUGGUCUUGGAUAGGAUGAGCUGGUCAGACAUCCUACCUAUUUGUCACUCUCAUCUUUUCCCCAUCUAUCUCGUGGCCCCCUCCAUAGACCUUUUUUUUUUUUUUGGCAUUGGGGAUUGAACCCAGGGCCUUGUGCAU
rnacentral:lncRNA from 1 species